rnacentral:rRNA from 1 species
AUUGAACGCUGGCGGCAUGCCUUACACAUGCAAGUCGAACGGCAGCAUAGGAGCUUGCUCCUGAUGGCGAGUGGCGAACGGGUGAGUAAUAUAUCGGAACGUGCCCUAGAGUGGGGGAUAACUAGUCGAAAGACUAGCUAAUACCGCAUACGAUCUACGGAUGAAAGUGGGGGAUCGCAAGACCUCAUGCUCCUGGAGCGGCCGAUAUCUGAUUAGCUAGUUGGUGGGGUAAAAGCCUACCAAGGCAACGAUCAGUAGCUGGUCUGAGAGGACGACCAGCCGCACUGGGACUGAGACACGGCCCAGACUCCUACGGGAGGCAGCAGUGGGGAAUUUUGGACAAUGGGGGCAACCCUGAUCCAGCAAUGCCGCGUGAGUGAAGAAGGCCUUCGGGUUGUAAAGCUCUUUUGUCAGGGAAGAAACGGUAGUAGCGAAUAACUAUUACUAAUGACGGUACCUGAAGAAUAAGCACCGGCUAACUACGUGCCAGCAGCCGCCGCCG